rnacentral:lncRNA from 1 species
AAUAACGUUUUUUGUACCAGCUUUUUUGGCCACUUCUAAAGCUUCAGAGUAAGUACUGUGUUGCUUUUUUAUUGCAAUUUCGUGCAUAGAGUCUUCCAAAGUAGCUUCGUGAAUUAAUAAAGUUGAGUCUUUGGCAAUGUUAGCAAAAUCCUCAGAAGGUCGAGUAUCUCCAGAGUAUGCGAUCUUCCAACCACUGGAAUUAGUAAUCUCCAUGCAAUAUGAAUACGGGCAGUGUAUGGCAGGAACCGUUCGAAAAGAUACUAAAUCAAAUUCUUUAAAUAAAGAAGACAACCUAGAGGAUUCCAAAGCAGACGGCUUCCUGUCAGUACGUAAAGCACUAUUGGAAAUAAAUACGAUGUUGGAUAAUGGUAGAUAAUCAAUCCUUGAGUAUUCUAGUAGCCAAAAUUCAAAUUGUGGAGGUGCUGUUAUAAACAACUUUGAUCUGCCAUCUGAGUACUUCGUCCAAGCCUUUAAAACCCCUAUAACACCAGCAUGAUGGUCAGCAUGCAUAUGGGAGAUAUAAAUCCAUCGUAAAGAAGCUAUUUCGUAUUUUAAAUUGUCACCAUACUGCCUCGAUAGACGUCCCAAAGUGCCCUCUCCACAGUCCAAAAGUAUGUUUUUCAUACUGAUAGCUGAGUCUUCCAUACAUUUUUUGUCAACGGGAAUUCUAACGUAAGUAGAUGAAACAUUUCUGUAUAAAGAAGGCAUUGCAGAUCCAGUGCCAAGAGUACAAAUUUGGAUGUCAGAACCUGCAAAGCUCGGUGCCUUUGGUUUAUCACUAACAUAUUUUUGAGCUUCUUCAACAAAUGAUUUAUAAUCUGGUUUCUCUUUCAAAAUUUUAUCCUUCAACUCUUCAAUCGAAACCCCAACUUCCGAAUCGUCAAUACCAGUUUUUUUUCCAAACGCAAAACGCAGUUUGGGUUUGGCAAAAGCAAUUCGAUUGUUUUUUUGUACAUUUUUAACUUCAUAGCAGUUAAAGCCUAAAGGAAAAACUUUUGAAUCUAACAAAUUAAGUGUUGCAAUAGCGACUGCACUCCUAGGAUAAUUUAUUACUUCGUUUACUUCAGUCGAAGCAAUUAGAUGGCUCACCUCACUUGGGAAUGAAGAAAUCCAGCUCUGAUAACGUGGAUUUUUGUAUACUUCUGGUGUAACCGAAUGAAUGACACAAACAGGUUUAGGUGCAUUUGUCCAUUUAUGAUUUUCAAUGACCAAGUCAAUUACGAGUUCGUUGGGGCAAUGAAUAAUAAAAAAGGAGGAGCCAGGAAUAGAAGGACCAAUCACUUCUUUUGGAUAUACUGUUUUUCCGUUUUCAAGAGUUACAGGUUCUCCUCGAGCGAGUCUACCACAGUCUAAUCCUUUCGUGAUACCAAGCGAUUUUGCUUUUGCGGCGUCAAAUUUCCCUGGGGUAGGAUGGGAUUGAACAAUAUAAGAAAUAAACAGCUCUGGCUUGUCUGGUUCCAAAGGAGCCGGAGUGUUAUACAUUGCAUUCUCAACGACGAAUGAUGUAUCAUUGGAAACGUGAGAAUACCAAUGAGGAGAAGUAUUUGCUCUAUCCUCUUUUAAUGGUCUUGCAUUUGUACCUCUGUUAAUGUUUUCAUGCUUCCUUUUUUUAAAAGAAUUUUUAACUAGUGAAACAACUACCGGAGUUACACAAAUAUUUUCAUCAACGAAUACUGGGGCCUCAGCCGAAGUAUAUCCCUGUACCGUUAAAUUUACAUUCGUAUGAUAAGUGAAAUGCCGCAUCGAAGAUAAAAACUGAUGAACUUCACUAGGUCCAUGAAGGACAAAAGGACUAGCUUCUCCGGUUUCCCCAGGUUCCGAAAUAUCAUUGAGAGACAGCAAAAAGCCUAUUGUCAGAAAUUAUUAAAUAUAUUUAACACUUACCUGGAAACCCACCACAAGAAUCCCACCAUGUAGGAUAGUUUACAGUCGAGCACAUACUAUUACGUUCAGAUACAAUAACUUUGUCCCGAUCAUCCAGCUGUAGCAUAUCAGAAACAGAGGUAGUAGACGAUGAAGAAGAAGAAUCAUAUGUAUCUGGUGAUGAUAUUGAAGAUCCUUGCAUUAAGAAGACAUCUUUAAUCUUUGAUAAUCGAAGCUGUUGGGAGAGUAUAGCUCUUUGACAACCUUCCCCUACGCUUCCAAAUACAUACCUCUUAGAAUCAAAAAAUAAGUGGAUGCAGGGAAUACAAGAUGUAUCCCGAGAACUGACGCUCACAAAUUG